rnacentral:rRNA from 1 species
UCGAGCGAAUCUUAAGGUGCUUGCACCUUUUGGUUAGCGGCGGACGGGUGAGUAACACGUGGGCAACCUGCCUGUAAGACUGGGAUAACUUCGGGAAACCGGAGCUAAUACCGGAUAAUCCUUUUCCUCUCAUGAGGAAAAGCUGAAAGUCGGUUUCGGCUGACACUUACAGAUGGGCCCGCGGCGCAUUAGCUAGUUGGUGAGGUAACGGCUCACCAAGGCGACGAUGCGUAGCCGACCUGAGAGGGUGAUCGGCCACACUGGGACUGAGACACGGCCCAGACUCCUACGGGAGGCAGCAGUAGGGAAUCUUCCGCAAUGGACGAAAGUCUGACGGAGCAACGCCGCGUGAGCGAUGAAGGCCUUCGGGUCGUAAAGCUCUGUUGUUAGGGAAGAACAAGUAUCGGAGUAACUGCCGGUACCUUGACGGUACCUAACCAGAAAGCCACGGCUAACUACGUGCCAGCAGCCGCGGUAAUACGUAGGUGGCAAGCGUUGUCCGGAAUUAUUGGGCGUAAAGCGCGCGCAGGCGGUCCUUUAAGUCUGAUGUGAAAGCCCACGGCUCAACCGUGGAGGGUCAUUGGAAACUGGGGGACUUGAGUACAGAAGAGGAAAGCGGAAUUCCACGUGUAGCGGUGAAAUGCGUAGAGAUGUGGAGGAACACCAGUGGCGAAGGCGGCUUUCUGGUCUGUAACUGACGCUAAGGCGCGAAAGCGUGGGGGAGCAAACAGGAUUAGAUACCCUGGUAGUCCACCGCCGUAAACGAUGAGUGCUAAGUGUUAAGAAGGGUUUCCGCCCUUU